AACGAACGCUGGCGGCGUGUUUAAGACAUGCAAGUCGCACGGAGAAUAUGAAUAGCUUGCUAAUUGUAUUCUUAGUGGCGCACGGGUGAGUAACACGUGAGUUACAUGCCUCACAGAGGGGAAUAGCCCGCCGAAAGGCGGAUUAAUACCCCAUGGUCCCGCAAGGGUAAAGGCGGCUUCGGCUGUCGCUGUGAGAUUGGCUCGCGUCCUAUCAGCUUGUUGGUAAGGUAACGGCUUACCAAGGCAACGACGGGUAGCUGGUCUGAGAGGACGAUCAGUCACACUGGAACUGAGACACGGUCCAGACACCUACGGGUGGCAGCAGUCGAGAAUAAUUCACAAUGGGGGAAACCCUGAUGGUGCAACGCCGCGUGGAGGAUGAAGGCCCUAGGGUCGUAAACUCCUGUCAUUUGAGAGUAAGACCUGGUCGUUAAUAGCGGACAGGGUUGAUAGUAUCAAAAGAGGAAGGGACGGCUAACUUCGUGCCAGCCGCCGCCGUAACAC
rnacentral:rRNA from 1 species